GUUUUGGUCAGUUCCGUUUCAUUUCGUUGCCUUGAUUAUAGUUUCAAUUCUAACGAUUGAAAUAUGGAACUUUUAAAUCCAUCAUUCGAUUAGCAUAAACGAAUUGUGGGUUGAAGUUUUAUAGCUAUGCACAUUUACAUGAUCAAUGUAGUUUUAUGUUAUUUUCGUAUGGUGAACGUUUGACUUACAUUUACAAUGGGAUAUUGUUUUUUAAUGUAUAGUUGAGGUUAUCCCUACUGUGGUACAAUCACAGAGGGAAGUUUUCAAACUCAUUGCAGCUUUAUUAGCCUAGUUGAGAUGGAAAAAGAAGAUGGAAUCAGCCAGAAUUUAACCGCAAACAACACAAUAUCUUUAGAGGACUGAAGAGGAAUACAAAGAAAGAUGGAACUCUAUCCGUGUCAUGUACUUCACCAUGUUCCUGAUGGCCUUAGGGUUCAGCGUGGUGUUGACUGGGGUUUGGCCCUAUCUGGACGAGCUGGAUCCCUCGGCUGGCAAGGGAGUUCAUGGGUUACGUUGUGGCAGCUAACCCUCUAAGCUCAGAUGGUAUUAUUCUCGCCUUUGGUGGGCUGGUGGGGCAACCGGCGGGGCUCGGUCCGCCUGCCUCUAGUCAUGUCGCUGCUUCUCUUCACGGGGGCCAGUGCAGCAUACUCUAUGCUGGAGGCUGUCCCUUCGCACAGGAAGUACUGGAUGCUCCUGUCACGCUUCUUCAUCGGGUCAGUUCUGGUAAGUGUAGUCGUUAAGAACAAAACAGGCUAA